rnacentral:rRNA from 1 species
CCUACGGGUGGCAGCAGUGAGGAAUAUUGGUCAAUGGGCGAGAGCCUGAACCAGCCAAGUCGCGUGAGGGAGUACUGCCCUAUGGGUUGUAAACCUCUUUUGUCGGGGAGCAAAAGCCGGACGUGUCCGGCUGUGAGAGUACCCGAAGAAAAAGCAUCGGCUAACUCCGUGCCAGCAGCCGCGGUAAUACGGAGGAUGCGAGCGUUAUCCGGAUUUAUUGGGUUUAAAGGGUGCGCAGGCGGAUUUUUAAGUCAGCGGUAAAAUCGUGGGGCUCAACCCCAUCCAGCCGUUGAAACUGGGGAUCUAGAGUGUGCGAGAGGUAUGCGGAAUGCGUGGUGUAGCGGUGAAAUGCAUAGAUAUCACGCAGAACCCCGAUUGCGAAGGCAGCAUACCGGUGCAAAACUGACGCUCAGGCACGAAAGCGUGGGUAUCGAACAGGAUUAGAUACCCUUGUAGUC